GACAACGCUGGCGGCGUGCUUAAUACAUGCAAGUCAACUGAACUUAAGAUAGCAAUAUUUUAAGGGAGGUGGCGCACGGGUGAGUAACACGUAGGUAAUCUGCCUUUAGGUCUGACACAACCCCGAGAAAUCGGGGCUAAUAUCAGAUGAUGCAGCGGCUCGACAUCGAGACAGUUGUUAAACCUUCGGGGCCUAAAGAUGAGCCUGCGUCUGAUUAGGUAGUUGGCGGAGUAAAAGCCCACCAAGCCUGCGAUCAGUAGCUGGUCUGAGAGGAUGAUCAGCCACACUGGAACUGAGACACGGUCCAGACUCCUACGGGAGGCAGCAGUAAGGAAUAUUGCUCAAUGGCCGAAAGGCUGAAGCAGCAACGCCGCGUGGAGGAUGAAAUACUUUUGUAUGUAAACUCCUGUAAGAAGGGAAAAAUAUUCCGAUUUAUCGGGAUUGAUUGUACCUUCAGAGUAAGCCCCGGCUAACUACGUG
rnacentral:rRNA from 1 species